CGCUAUACAUUUAUUAGUCUUUCCUCCCAAACACAUUACCCCCCAACAACUAGCUUCUGCACUUUGACAGACCCUCGAUUACAGAGCACCAACUUUUGGCCCCUUCCCAAUGUUUGCGCAUGACGUCACCUCCUUUGUCUUCAGCCAAACUCGUUUUCACUGUCUCAUUUUCCCACACCCUUCUCCCUUCCGUUGUUAGUUGUCCAUUUUCGGCUAUCUGCAAAAUAGAAUAAUCGAGUUCCCUUCGUUUCAGAGUUACGAUGCUGUGACCCUACGCUUCCUUCCCUUACAACUGAGGUUCUGUGCCUCUAUUUCGUUUUGGAGUUGAACUUUUGCCGCAGUCCAUUAUAAUCAUCGUUUGCUCCAGGAAAUAUCACCAUCAUACAGGUUGAAAAAAUUUAUCAGUUAGCUAAUGGUAUUGACAAUCUGGGAUCCAACAUUGAAGCAGUUAAGGUGAUUAGACAUUCUCAUAUAAGUUUGGGAAAGGCAUGUUAUCGAGGGAAGGGACCAGCUGCGACGAAGACACUGGUGGCUGGGUGUGACCGGCAAUGUAAAGGGUCUUCUUAGAGGAAGUGGGUUCAUCGAAAAUGAACUGGCCAGUGAUUUCUGUGGCUAACGGUGGUUCUCUGACGUCCUGGGGUGGUCAGUGGUGGCUGGUAGAAAAAAUUAGGCCUUAGCCCGUUGCAACAGUAGCCUGUCGCAGCACCACGCACAUCCUGCCGUCAGUUUGGAAAAAUAGGUAAGUAUGUUUGAAAUUUGUUUUACUUUCUGUCUACAAAUGCAGUGAGAGGGGAAAAGAUUUUAAACUUUUCUUUGGAAUCCUAGGCUCAAAACCAGACACUUUGAUCUGAAAACCAUUAUACAAAAAUUGGAUUAAAGACUAUAUAUCAUGUAUAAAGCUAGAAUCCACUUUCUUUUUUUAUUUUUUAUUUUUUGUCUUACAAGUGUAAAGCUGGAUUGACACUUACAUCUACUUCUAGAACAAUAAGAACAAACAAAUGUGAACGCAUAUAUAUAUGGCAUGACUUUAUUUUUUCUUUCCUUUCUAAAAAAUUCACCUGUUGCACUCCAGGAUCGUCUACAAGAUUUAUUUCAUUUGUAUUAGUUCAACUUGGUCUUUGUGAAGGUGGAGUGAGAGUGGAGUGAAGUGGUCUUUGUGAAGAUGAAGUGUUUCAUGAAGUGCUAUUGAGGAAGUUAAUUCAUUGAUAAAUUAAUGCAAAACUAAUGCAAUAUUCAAUAAGUGUUCUUGUUAAAUUAAUUGAAUCAUUUACCGUGAAGUUAGGAUUAUGGUAGUAAUCUUUGUGCACUAUUUUUAAAGUACUAAAAAUAGGAUGUAUUUGGAGUAUCAUAUCAACCCAUGCAUAAAUCAAGACCUCCAUGAUAUUUCGUUUAUAAUGACCUGCAUCAACAUCUACAAUUACUGUUUUCUAAUGAUGGGGAUAGAUUGUUUCAACUUCCUGACAAUCAAAGAUGAAAACAAAAGAACAAACCAUAUUAAUGUGUUCUGCAAAUCACUUCACAUGUUUGAUCUGUGUUGGUAAGGAGCUACAGAACGAACCAAUUAUGAUGCCAUUAAUUUCUUUCCAUUUAUGCUUGAAGACUGCCCUUCAAGUUGAAGUAACUCAUCAUGCACUUUAUCCACGAUGGAGCUUAGGAAUUCUUGAGCAUCUUCCUGCCUGAAAAUGACAACACCAGAGACCAACUUAAAUUAAUCACAAGCAUCAACCAUUCACAGUGACCAUGCACAUUUACAUAUAUACCAAUAGUACAUUCUAAUUUGCCAUCUUGUUUUGGGAAAAAGAUCGACAAUGUGGGCUAUAUAACAUUCUAAGAUAGAGAAGUAAUGUAUUUUGGUCCCAAUAAGCAACAACUUCUUGAUUUCUUUUUUCCUCCCCAAUUGUUUAAUCAAGCCUGCAAGAGAAAAGGCUGCUUUAAAAAUUAAUCACUAUACAUAUUGGGUUCAGAAAUAAGCAAGGUUUUACUUUGAAAAUACUAAGGUAAUUAUUAGUACCUCUAUACUAGAUGUAGAGUUUGGAAAAAACAAAUCUCCCAAAUUGAGUUGACAUGAGAUCAAACGACUAGCGUCAUUAAUUAUAUAUAAGAGGGACUGACAAUGAAACACAUACACAUGUAAUUGCAAAAAGAAAGAUGCCAAAAUAUCACAGUACUUUUCUUCUUUUAACUUGCCCAUUUCACCUCUGUAUGAGAUCUGAUCAAUUUGGUUGAUGUGGAAUGAAUCCCUGACCAAAGUGAGGGAAACAAUUGAUUACUAGGAAUAAACAAAUUAUUCUUAUAUAACAUCCAUCAAAUUAAUGGCAAGUCUUAGUACAAGAGUUUAUAGGAAAACAACUAGAAUUAAUGAUGUCAACUCUCAUAAUAAGAUUACAACCAUGCAUGAUAUAUGCAAAACAACAACAGGUGGCAUCUAUCACUUAGAUCUAUUUUAUUCUCAAGUAACAAGCUCAUGAUGGAAACAAACAAGGAACUUGACACAUGUUACAUAACAGCCAACAAGGAGUUCCCACAUUUAUCCUAAAAAUAAUCAUUUUUAAUCAAAUAAUACCAAAUUCUAGUGUCAACACUCGCA